rnacentral:rRNA from 1 species
GAUGAACGCUGGCGGCGUGCAUAACACAUUCAAGUCGAACGGUGACGAGGACUUCGGUCCUCUGAUCAGUGGCGGACGGGUGAGUAACGCGUGAGCAACCUGCCCUAUAUUGCGGGAUAACAACCGGAAACAGUUGCUAAUACCGCAUGACGUAUUCGGAUCGCAUGUUCUGAAUACCAAAGAAUUUUGAUAUAGGAUGGGCUCGCGUCCGAUUAGGCAGUUGGUGGGGUAACGGCCCACCAAACCGACGAUCGGUAGCCGAACUGAGAGGUUGAACGGCCACAUUGGAACUGAGAUACGGUCCAGACUCCUACGGGAGGCAGCAGUGGGGAAUAUUGGGCAAUGGGCGAAAGCCUGACCCAGCGACGCCGCGUGAGGGAAGAAGGUCUUCGGAUUGUAAACCUACUUUCUAGCAGGGAAGAAGCAAGUGACGGUACCUGCAGAAGAAGUCACGGCUAACUACGUG